AUUCCAGAUAUUCAUUAAGUUUUUCAUAUCAUUAAAUGAGAAAAAAUUUCUGGUAGCUUUUGUGAUAUUGAGGACUAAGCUGUUGUUAAAUCUAUUCUUUAUUUUUACUUUUGUCUCUUGGUUUUUUAUUGUAGUAUGUGAACUUCCUUUUUAUGAAAUAUGUGACAAAAAUGUAUCAAGAAUCCAGUGUUCAGCGUUAGGAUGUUGCUUUCAUAAAGAAGUUUGCUAUAAGAAAGCUGUGCCAUCUUACAUGCAGGUAUUCAUCAUCUUGAUACUGGUUAUCAUGGCAGCCUUCAUUUUAUUUGUAUGCUACAGGUGCUGAGGCAUUUGUUCUACAGGCAUGGCUGUGUGAGCUGCCCAGGGAAUGCGCAGUAAACACCUGCUCUGUGUGGUGAAGAAGAACAGAAGUAAGAGAAUGCAUCCUCCAGUAGACACGUCAGAACCAAGUGUCACAUCUUCCAGUGAAUCUAAUGAGGAAGACAUGUCGCAGGAGUAAAAUACAUAUAUAUUCUGGUGGUUAAAAAAGUA